CACUUGGCACCAAAUUUGUUAACCUGAGUUCAAUUCCCAAAAGUCACAUGGUAAGUGACAAUUGGUCUGUUGAUCUCUGGAAGUUGUCCUCUCUUUUCCAGAUAUAAAGAUGCCUUUUAGUAACAAAAUAUGCUUAGUACUGGAUCAAAUGUUUAAAGAGGCCAUCCUGAGGUACAUGGAAGGAAACCAAGAUCUAUCUGGCCCCAAGGGAUGAUGGAAAAAGAGAUAAAUGGAAAUACAUACUGUGUGCAGUUUCUGCUCAGAACUGUAAACAUCAAUGCGUACUUUUUGACAGAUGGCGUGGUUCUAUUUUGUUGGUUCUAGGAACUGAGAUCAUAAUUAAGAGGAGUCCAUGGGACAUAUGCAUUGAGCCACUAAAGGUGAAAUUCUUGGACUAGUGUAAGACAGACCAGCAGGAAAACAUUUGCAAAGAAUGUUUUCAUUAAUCAAGAAAGAUAGUCAUAGGUUUGAAGAUGAUCAGAUACAAUCCUAGCUCCGACCACACACAAUGCCGACUGGAGAUGUAGUGGUGUUGUUGCAGGGCAGCUUCCUGAAACCUAAGUGUUUGGGUUUGGGGGGAGUAUGGAUGCAUAGCUGAAACUUAAAGGAAUUGAUGGAAGGGCACCACUAGAAGUGGAGCCUGCAGCUUAAUUUGACUCAACACAGGAGACCUCACCCAGACCAGGAUUAACUGUGACUCUGAUUUCAAAUGUAUAUUCUAUGCAUUGAGUAGUUUGGAAGCUGAUUUAUUUAACAUAACAGACUUUUUGUGAAGGCUGUCUCAUCAAGUCCUUAAAAUGUUUCUUUGGGGAUGUUUGUAGCCAGUCUGGAAUGUGUUUAGACCAUGUCUUCUUUUGGAAAAGAAAAAA
rnacentral:ncRNA from 1 species